rnacentral:rRNA from 1 species
UACUAGAGUAGCACUCGCAUAUCAAUAAGCGGAGGAAAAGAAACUAACAAGGAUUCCCCUAGUAACGGCGAGUGAAGCGGGAAGAGCUCAAAUUUGAAAUCUUAAAGGGUUUCCCUUUACGAAUUGUAGUUUAAAGAAGUGUUUUCUGUUGAGGUUUUGGUAAAAGUUCUUUGGAAUAGGACAUCAUAGAGGGUGAGAAUCCCGUAUUUGACCUUUACUUUCAACUUUGUGAUACACUUUCAAAGAGUCGGAUUGUUUGGGAAUGCAGUCCAAAAUGGGUGGUAAAUUUCAUCUAAAGCUAAAUAUUGGCGAGAGACCGAUAGCGAACAAGUACCGUGAGGGAAAGAUGAAAAGAACUUUGAAAAGAGAGUUAAACAGUACGUGAAAUUGUCAAAAGGGGAAGCGUUUGACACCAGUGUUGUUUUUCUGAAAAUCAAUUAAAGAACUGUUUAUGCUAAGCUGUUUAGACUUUAUCAGCUAUCUGUUUAGUUUUGAGCUUUUCUUUAAUGCACUUUUCAGUUAACAAGUCAACAUCAAUUUCUUUUGCUGUAAAAAAGCUUGAGGAAGGUGGCUUGAGAUUCGUCUUAAGUGUUUAUAGCCUCUUGCCUAUGCAGUCGGAGAGAUUGAGGUCUGCAGCGUAGAUCCUUCGGGGCUAAAUGCAUUUGUGCUAAGUUAUAGCAUUUUAUAGACAACUUGUUGACUAUGAUUUGUCUUGUAGCUUACUCGCUUAUGUUAUUUUACCUACGCUUAGGAUGUUGAGCGCAUGUCUCUCUCU